AGCAUUCUCUUAGUGAUCCUAAGGAUGUGUGCCUGGUUGGCUAGAAAGCUGGUUCUUAAGAGAGGUCUGUUGCAAAUUAUUACAUGUGGGCAUGUUUGGGUGCAAAGGGCAUUGAGGACUAGCUUCUGCAGCACAUUUGUGUUCUCUUUUCUAGUUCCAAAGAAAAAAAACAAAUCCGAGUAGUACAGAAAGUGCCACUCUGGUGCUGGAGGCUAUUUUUUGCAUUGGCAUGGGACAUCGAGGACUUAUUUGCUUCUGGAGAGUUGUGGGUCAAGUGAUGGUGCCUCUAGGAUACUCGUUGGCCUGCUAGAUCACUUUUGGGAGAUGGAAAGGGUUAAAGCGAUGCAGCUGCAUCUAGGAGAGUCUGACUGUCUGUCUAGAUCUUGUGUAAUUUCGCCCAGUCAAUCAGAGGACACCUUCAGGGACAGCCUUGGGAAAAAAAUGUCAACGAGGCAAAACUGCCUGGCCUCCAUUCCUCCUCCUCCUCCUCCCUCUUGGGUCCCCACCCAGUGGAUGGAAAACCUACCUUCCCUCCAUUCUAUUUUAGAUGUAAAUAUGUUGGUGAGCAAAAUACUGGGUUACUCAGAGCAACAAACAGCCCUCCCAGGGUUGCUGUCAUCUGGCCUUUUCUAAUGCCCUUCACAUCUGGAGCGCUCAGCACUUUGUAGAUGGCGGGCUGCAAGCUUACCUCCCUGAAUGGCCACAGUAUAUCUGAGAGGCAGCCAGGAUCAUCUCCAUUUGUCAGAAGAGAGAAAUGGAGGUUUUGGGUGGGUGGCUUACUGUCUUGGGCUUGGCCCCAGAAUUAGUAACUGGCAGAGAGAGUUGAGCAUUGCUUGGUGUGACAGACCCACUCCUGCUUCUUUCAUUGCUUCUUAGAGCCAGGGGUCCCCUCCCCUCCCUCACAGGAGCCACCAGCCAGGAGAGCCUGUUUAUAUUUAAAUUCAAAGUAAUUUUUAAAAAAAGCCUGUGAAAUUUAAAGUGUUGUUCUUGAGCCACACUAACCUCAUUUAAAGUAUUCUGUGGCCACAGGGGCUAGAGACUCCUGUACUGCACAGGUCAGAAAGAGGAUUUACAUCACCGUAAGAAGUUCCAUAAGUAAUGCGCCCUCUAAGUAUGACGGUGCCUGUCAGCAAUCCCAGUAUUUUGAAAACAGAGGCAGGAGGAUUGCAAGUUUGAGGCUAGCCUUGGCUUCGUAGUGAGAGUCUGAGGAGCUGUUUCAAAAGAACCAACAGAAAGGAAAAGGAAGGGGGGAACGCCAACACAUUUGACUGGAGCAUGUCCUCUGCCUCCAUAUGCACUCGGACUUCCGAACACAUGUGAACACAUACUCGAAAAAGGACACUUCAUGUGCCAGACAGAGCGGAUUUUUCAGAAGAGAGAACGGUGCAAUGAACUUCCCACUCAGACCUCCAGUUGACUCUCACUCUACCUUUGUGACUUUGACCCCAGAGAGUAACUCCGGAGUGUUUAAGCGGGUUCUACACUCAAGCAAAUAUUUGCUCAUAUCCAUUCUUUACCCGGGCUGCUGUUAGCAAACAUCAACAAAGCACGGCUGGCUCUGUUCUCUCCUUGGUCUUAAAAUAGGGCUGCUUUUUCUGUUUUCCACUUGGCUCCUGUGACACAGAAAGACCUGGAAUGAGCUCAGAAGCCAGGAUGGAGCUUGGUAGACCCCGUGCAGGGAGGCAUCUGCAAACAUUAAGAUCCUAGAGAUGGGCCACAGACAGGUAUUUAUUCUUCCUGAGUGUGUACAGUAUUGACGGAGGCUAGAAGAAGACGUGGGAUCCCCUAGAACUGGAGUUACAGACAGUUAUAAGGCACCAUGGGGAUGCUGGAAAGUGAACCCAGGUCCUCUGCAAGAGCAGCAAGUGCUCUUAACCCCUGAGCCAUCUCUUCAGCUUUGAAAAUGAUAUUUUCAAAAUGAAGAAACAAAAAAAGAUCUUUUGCAUUUGUGGAUUCGUGAUUGUUGGCAUGACUAAAAUAACAGGGGUGAACCCGAGGCGUCACCGCAAUGUCGCUCUUGGAACUUUUAAAAGCAUCUCUGUGGGACUGAGGGUAUGGUUCUGCUGGCAUACUGCUUACACGUAAGCAUGAGGAACUGAGGCUGAACCCUCCCAGAAUCCAUAUGGAAAAGCCAGAUGUAGGGCUGCUCACUUGUGAUGGUGGUGUUGGGAGGUGGAGAUGGUCACUCCCCCGCAGCUCACUGACCAGCCAGCCUGGUUAUCUACUCAGUGUUGUUAACGUGUAUGUGAAACGGUGGCACAAACGGGUAUCCUGAUGACCUGGGUUUGAUGCUAGGCACCUACAUGAUGGAAAGAGAGAACCUCCUCCUACAGGUUGCUCUCUGGCCUUCUAGGCGUGCUGUGCUCUGCACUGCCCCCUGCACACACAAAUACAUAGACGUAAACUGCAAGACUAAUUAAUUACACCCUUUAUGUCUCCAGUUAAAAGCAUGGGGUGUACACUGGGGUUGGCUCAAUGGGCAAGGCACCCAGCACCCAAGUGAAAACUCGAAUUUGGAUCGCCAGAAACCACAUAAAGCCAUAUACAGUACCGCACAUUUGUAAUCCAGUGCCUCCUAAAAGGAGAUGAGAGGCAGAGCCAUCCUCCCAGAAGCUUGAGGACCAGGUAGCCUGGUGGGUGCAGCAAAGAGCAAGAAGAGAUUCUUUCUCAAACAACAACAAUAUAAAGAUAAGAACUAACACCUGAAGUUCUCCUGAUCUCCCAACAUGUGUUAUGCAUGGAUGUGCCCUCACUCACAGACAUGCAUACACAAGCAUGCACACACAUGCACACACACACACACACACACACACAUACACACACAACCGUGGGGCUGUCUGGAAGCCAGGAUUUUAAGAUCCGAAAUUCAUUUCCACAGUGGUUCAGGGAAACCAGGUAGAAAAUAUCAACACCAAUAUAUUGGACAUUUCUCAGAAGUUCAAGUAUCUGGUGCGUUCAGUGCAACCUGGAGUGUAAUCAUUUGUUGGUAAUAACCCUGGCCUUGUUUUGUUCAUGGAUCUGACUCCAGAGCUAGACAUCCCAUGGACAGAACCACCACUUGCUUUUUAUUGGCAUGUUGUGGGGUCAUGGCUGCACACAGGUAGGAAACACUUUUAUUUUUUUCUCCCUUGCAACUCAAUUACGAGGCUGAAGGGCAAACAUGGAUUUUUUUUCCACAGGAAGCUGGCUCCUCCGGCUUUCUUGAUGGGUAGAUUUCUGCAUCACCUGUGCCAUGAAGGGUCAGCUGUUUUUAAGAGACAAAAAUACCUGGACUGAAAUAAAGAGGGGGAAAUAAAUAAAUAAGAGCACAUUCCAGGUCACUUUAUGGGAAAGCAGGAGGCACGCUAAAACUUGGCCUUUCGUUCCUGCCUGGCCAGGAGGUUCGAGGAAUCAAACAAGAAACAUGGGCCCCAUGUGGUGGUAAGAGCUCUGAAUUAGGAGCCAGAAGUCCAAGCCAGGAUUCUGUCCCAAACCUGAUUGACCACCCUUCCCCUUCUCAUCCUCUGUUCCUCCAUCUAUCACACAUGAGAAGAGGGCCUGGCCUCACACAGACAUCCUUUAGAAAGAUUCUCUGACUGUUUCCUGCAUGUUUUCUCAGAGUGUUUCUGUCUCCAUGUAAAUGCUGCAGUAGACGCUGGGUGUGCAAGAAGAUGGAGGCAACAGUGAAAAGUGCUUCUGGAUCUCCUGCUAAUGUGAGCUUCCUCCCUUAGCCACCAAUGUUCUAGGAUCCAGUACCCACGGCUAGUGGGGAUCAUUAGGUUUGGGGGAUUGGUGAUACCUCUUAGUUUUAGCUGAGGUUUUUGGCCUUGGGCUGGUAGAGAUCACCAGCAUGAAGGCUGCAGUGAAACCCAAGGCAGGUGGAAUCUCAGGACUUACCAUCCUGGUCCAUCCUGACAUAGGAUUACGGAUGAACCAGUAGAGAAACUCCCCCUCCUCCAACACACCGGUACCAUGUGGAGAAUGAGUGGGUUGAGCAAAGGCUCCUGGGAUAAUUCAGCCUGCCUUGAGAUGAGCAGAGGGUGUGGGGAGACCCCUUUCCCUCUCUUUUCCAAGGAAGUUCACCAUGGAGGAAUAACAGUAGAGACAGAUGCAAAGCUGCAAGGAUAUCACAAUACCUACCUGGCUCUCUCUCUCUCUCUCUUUCUCUCUCCCUCCCCCCUUCUCCCUUUCUGUGUCUCUCCUUCUCUCUCUUGCUCCUUCCUCCUCCCCUCCUUGUGUGUGUAUGUAGGAGGAAGUGUGCAUCUUUUCUCUGAAACCCUAGAUUAUCUGUCUAUUAUAAUCUUGGAACUAACUCUCUAGGGGAAAGAAAAUAUAAGACAAAAAAUAAAAGGCCAUGGAGAUAGCUCAUUUGGUAAGAUGUUUGCCAUGCAAACAUGAGGACCCGAGUUCAAGCUUGAGAACCCAGUUUAAAGAAGAAGAGGGAUGAGGAGGAAGCCUGGGAAGGUGGGGACAGAAGGACCCUGUGGCUCACUGGCCAUCAAGAGCAGCUUACUUUACAAGUUUCACAUCAGUGGGAGACCCUUUCUCCAAAAAGAGAAGUGGACAGCACUGAGGAAUGCCACCCAAGAUUGCUCUCCAUCCUUUACACACCUAUACACACGUGUGCACCCGCAUGCAUCCACACACCCACACACCCACACACAUCAACAUGUACACAGUCCUACACAAACGUGCGCUCGUGCACGCACACACACACACACACACACACACAUACACACACACACUCACAUAGCACCAGAAAUAAAAAUAAACCUAAAAAAAGAAUUUAAAAGAAAUAUUGUAAAAUUAUUCCCAUCGCGAGCACACCAGGCAGCAAGCUGGGUAUAAUUGCCCCAGUUCUUGGCAUCUGGCACAGGAGCUGGUUGGCAGGACCAAGCUCUGUAUAUGGGCAAUAAGCUCAGUGUUCAGGCCGCAUUCCUGGGGCAGUGAUGAGGGGAGGGACCACUAUAGAAAUGAAUAUUGAAUCCAAAGGGCUGUAAUUGAAACCUCCGGAGAAAAUGGCUCCUGAAGGAUGCGGGACUUCAGUACAGCUGACAAAAGAGGAUGACUCUCCUGGCUUUCCCAUUUACUGUAGCUUCCCAAGGCCUAUUUUUAGCAGCAAUAAUAGUGCCGCCUACCCCUGUACUCAUUUUCUACUGAUUUUAAAAUUUGGUGUUAUCCUUAUCCCGUCUCUCCAGAGGUGCCUUCUCUCUCUCCAUUGUUAGUACUGCUGGGCCUGGGGAGGAUGAUAGGACGUUUUCUAAGAGAAAGGCACACUCAGUAUUUGCAUUCCCAUUUGAUUAGUACGUUUAUUGUUGUUUUGUUGUUGGUUGGUUUCUCUGAGUUUGUUAUGAACCAAGGGCAAACUCUUCACAUCGGGGUAAUAUCUGAACGAGACCUCAGGACACCCCAGAACCCUCCUACACUCACCUACCUCAUCCAGUGCAAUGGACCUGGGUGUAAGAGUGAACGUUCUCAUAGCUGUCCCUGAGUCAGGAAUGGGCUUCACCAAGGUAGAGGGGAACUCAGCUGAGAAGGCAUAUGUGAUCUAUGGAAGGAGCCACAGGAUACUUGCGGCCAUGUAUGUCAGGCGAAGGUGGGGAGCUGCAGGCAGCCAGGCAGAACCCCAGCAAAGGUUCAAGGUCAGAACCAAGUAUCCCACGAUGUAAGGGAUCAAGGGAAUGACUCAGAAGGACCGCUGUGUUGACUGUGAAGGUGGCACGAGGUUUCGGCCACGGAGUCAGUCACUGGGAGAUCGUGGCACUCGAGUCCUAGCAAGAACCUCGGCACAAAAUGGUGGAUUUGCUAAUUGACAUGUGAAACUCCACCUAGCAUGUGCAUUCGUGUCUUUUGGCUACCAGAAAUGCUAACUCUCCUAAAAGGGCACUCAAAACACCCAUCUCCUACCCUGCAGCCUCCCUAUAUCAAGAGAUGGCUCUGCCACAACUUGGUCCCAUGGGGGUCUAUAAGAAACCUUCAGGCCAAGUUCUAAAAAAGAGGUUUCCACGUAUGGGCACUUCUAAAGAACUCACACGUGAAGAGCCCACAGGAUUGGAGAGCUGGAGAAUUGGUUCAGUUGGUAAAGCGCUUGCCUGGAAGGCCUGAAGACCCAAAUUCAAGCCCUAAAACAAACGGGGUGUUUUGGCACAUGCUUAUGACUCCAGCAUGGGGGCGGUAGACACUGGUGGAUCCCUAGGGCUUGCUAGUCAGCCAGCCAAGCCAAACUGGUGAGCCCGGGUUGGUGAGAGGCUUGCCUCAAAAAAUAAGGUGAAGAGCUAUUAUUAGAGAUGCAAUUAAACUUUGACCUUCACAGGCAACAUAUAUGCACACACACACACACACACACACACACACACAAAUAGAUAGAUAGAUAGAUAGAUAGAUAGAUAGAUAGAUAGAUAGAUAGAUAGAUAAUAGAAGUGUUUGAUGCAGCCAGGAGCAGUGGGACACACUUGUGGGGCGCUCAGGAGGUAGAGGCAGGCGGAUGGAUCUCUGUAAGUUCGAGGCCAGCCUAGUCUGCAAAGUGAGUGAGUGAGUCCAGGACAGCCAAGGCUACACAGAGAGACCCUAUAUUGAAAAAACAAAAAGUGUAAUACACAAUCAAAAUAUUAAUUAUUAAGGUAAAUGCUCACGAUACACACACAUUCCUGCUUCAGGGAGCUGCUAAGACAGUCGCCUGUCAAGCAUCUGGUUCGGAUAGGGUUUACUGCAUUUGCCGGCCGCACUCCAUUCAGUCAUUUGUUUUGUAUCUGAGAUUGUCUAGCUGUUCCCGAUACUGCCAAAGAAAUAACAGAGGCACGAGGUGAUAAAAGAGAAACUGCAGAUAGCAGGUCGGGGGAAGGGCCCCUAAGAAUGGUCAUGGUCACCUCCCUGCCAGCUGGAUUUUCCACCCAGAUGUUUGUGCUGAGAACUUUGACAUGGGCAGUGCCGUCCCCAGACCCUGUUUGAAAAAAUCACAUUUAGAAAAAAAGAUUUUUGAACAUGGCGCUUUGUGUUAAUUACAUUUGAAUAGAGAGCCGGUAAUAAUUCACUGGCCUAGUCCCUGGUAGUUAAUUUUGUUCUAUCCAGGGGAAAAUUCUGCUGGGUCUAUGAACAGCUACGGCGCAAUUAGACAGCAAGAAGGUUUUUGUCCGUUCCAUUCCUAUUGAUUAGUAUUUACUUUAAAGAGUAAAAGCUAUUCCCUCGUGCUGGUGCUGCCUAAUCUGUCAAAGAAAAAGCUGAGCAUUUCAGAAACACAUAGCAAGCAUGUUCAUAUGUUAUAAACCGCCCCCCCCCCAAAAAAAGAGUCCAGUGGAAAAAAAAAAAAAAAAAAAACUCCCCAACUGGUUUUAAUGAUGCUCAAAUAAAAGGCAGAGACCACAGCCAAGAUCUCAUUAAAAGAAGUCUUUUUGUAGAUUUGCUUAUUUAUUUAUGAAACACCUCUAAAAUAUUUAUAAAUGCUUCCCUGAUAUUUGUCUGGAAAUUCAUGUUAGGGUUUCUUUGGUGAAAGGGGAGUAGGAAAUAGAGGGGAGACUGUGGCUUGGAAGAAAAAGGCAGAAUCUAUACCUUUUCCCCCUGUAGCUGGAAAUGGAUGAGGGAGGGUGUUCCAAGAUGUCACUAGGGGGUGCCCAAAGAACCAGGCAGCCACGAACUUGCUCAGCACAGGUGACCAGCUUGCCUGAUCUCUCCAGCAGAAGCCAGAGCGAUCACCAGCGCUCUGUUUAAUUUUCCUGACAGAACCGGGGCAGAUCCCGGCGCUCUGAGGCCUUUAUCACUUCCUUCUCUUUUAGAGCUAUUUAUUAAUUGAAAUAAUAGUUAGGCUACCUCUCGCCUCAGACCCACUUUCAUCUGUUUAGCAACCACUUUCCACGAAACACAAAAGAGCUCAGCGAUGACACUCGUGUCUUAAUUAACCGUCGAAUACCUUAUAGAGCAGCUGUCAGAGUUCUUGUCACUUGAAAGAAAGCACAGUGGUCCCUGAUUGAAAAAAAUAAAAUAAAAUAAAAACUGAAACAACGCAUACACGGCGCGGGGGGUGGGGGGGAGCUAAUCUAAUGAGGUGUCUGUGACGUGUCUUAAGAUCUAUUCGUGUUUUCUUCAUUAUGUGUAUGUGUGAGAGACACCGGAGCCCCUGGAGUUGUAGGUGGUUGUGAGCUAUCCUGUGGAUGCUGGGAAUCAAACUCAGGUCCUCUGUACGGGCAGCCAGUGCUUUCUCUGAGCCAUUGCUCCAGCCCCAGCAUUUUUCCCCUCAAAAGCAUGGUCCUUAGUAUCCACCAAGCCAUGCAAACUAGGGACUGGGCUGCUCAGGAGAAAACCAGGGAAUUUACAUGUCCCCCUCCUGUUUGGGAAAUGCGCCAAGAUGAGGGAUGAUGACGGAGCUGAAACUGUCAUUUUAAAGAAAGGCGGGGUGGGGAGGGGGCUGAUGUUGAUUGCUAAAACUAACAUAAUUCCAUACCUGUCCAACCUGUAGGUGGGCAUCAGUGUGUUCCAGUCAGCCUGGAGUCCCCUGCCCUCAUCUGUGUAUGUGUGAAUGCACCUCAGCCUUGACACUCCUCUGAGUCCCUGAAGACCGAGGAGCAUGUCAUGUGUGUUCAGGACAGGCAUUCUGCUUGCUAUUCUGAGGUCACCCCCACGCCCAUGCCAUUAGCAUUGGUCGUGGUCACCUCCAACCAUAUCACCACCGGUUUUGCUUGACUGUGACACAUAGAUUGCUUCCUCUGGGCCCCAGCCCUGCCCCGUCUUUCAAUCCCACUACAGAACAGCUGCUGUCCUCAUGUGAGAGUAAACCACACAGAGCUCGCACACCGACACACUGGAAUUUGGAGCACAAUUUCUUUCAUUUCAUCCACAUUUCCCUCUUCUUCCUAUGGCCUACACAGCCCCUAGAAGAACAGAUAGAGGGGACUAGAUAGCCACCAUUACACUGAAAGAGAACACCUGAUGAGUGAGAAAUUUCCCUCGUGUGAGGAAUGAUUGGCGCUACUGGACCGUCUCACAGCCAUCCUCCUUUUCAAUACCUAUGUCCUGGCUGUCUACGCUCUCCUCAGCCUCUGAAUGUGUCUGUUUAUGUCAAAACCCCCAUCUUGUGCCAUAUUUGAGUCUGCCUUCUUCACUGGAAGCUUCUAGGCCAUCAAGAAAAUGUCCAAGGCAAAGGAAACAGUAUCAUCAUCUUCUACCCACAAUGCAUCUGACACUCAGCUGUGUCCCAGUGGGUUCCCUCCAUUAUCACCUUAUGAGGGAAAGAGUUGUAGUGAUAGCAGGGAUAUACCUAAGAAGGAUAAGGGUGCAGGUGAUUUAGCCUUUGGCUUGUUGCAAAUAUUACGUUACUGCAGGUACGUGGUGUCUGAACUUUAAGGAGGCAUCCGUGCCCAGGGACUACUUGGCUGACUCCUCAUGGAAAACAGUGCUGCCCUCCACUCACACACAGGGUCAAGAGCAGGCAAGCACUCAGCACAAUUAUUAGUGAACUUUCAUCAUUUUUAGGCAAAUGAGAUACUUCAUAGAUAACUGUAUAUACACUUAGAAUGCACCCUCCCAUUGCUGGCCAAGCCGGUGGGACAGCAGGGCAGUUUCCAAUGGAGCUUUGCUGAGGACAUUUUAAGUCAUUAGGAGACACUGUAUUCCUCGUUGCCGCCUCAUUUAGGUGUCUGUUAUGUGAACUUUUAAGGAUCGAUCUUCUUCUAUUUUGCAUAAUUCUAAAAUCAUGGUCCCUGGGAGGGUAAUCACCCUUGUAAUAACCAUUGUGUUUCUGUUUAUUCCAAGUAAUUCAUGCAUUCCUCUGUGCCUUUGCAUUGGGAUGCCCUGGUGCAUUCAGCAUUUGCCUCUUGGAAAAAGAGUUGGGGGGUAUAACUCUAGGAAAUCAGUCCUGUAUCCCGCAUCUGGGGCCUAGUGAGGCCGAAGAAGCCAAUGUAAGGUUGACAGAACUGAAACUCCCAA